rnacentral:tRNA from 1 species
GGCUUCCCAGCUCAGUUGGUCGAGCAUCGCACCGGUAUCGCGGAGGUCACGGGUUCGAUUCACGUUGAAGCCC